UUCGUUUCUGGUUUGCUUUGUUAGUUUUCCCAGUUUAGGUUUACCUGUUAGUGUCACUCGCCAUUUCUGUUUAUUUUACUGUUAAUAAAUUCUCACCUGCACUUGAGCUGCCGCUGCCUGGUCCUAAUUAAUUCCCACACGGCUUGCACCCGCAAACCGUGACACUUUGACUAAAUGCUUCCUCAUACACUGAUAAAAGCUAUUUUGGAGAGAGACCGCGCUUUUUGACUGAGCGGGGCAGCAAGCAAAUUCUGGGUCCUUUCUCCGGCUUCCAUCAAACCACAGAAGUGAAGAUCAUCGAAGAGUUCAGACGCAUCACCACAGUUUCCUUGGUGGAGACAUUCAUCCUGAAACUUGAUGAGUACACACCAGGUCUUUUGCAGCUUAUGCGUGCCAAAAGAGGAGCUGCUGGUUCCAAGAUGAGACCUUUGCUGGACACUUUGAAUGACGUAUGUUAUUUGACUUUUUUCACAAAUAUGUAAUUAUGGAGGGCUGCAUUGGGUAGCAAGACGGUCCUGGGUUCAAAUCCUGGCCCAGGGUCUUUAUUCAUGGAGUUUGCAUGUUCUCCCUGUGCAUGUGUG
ensembl:lncRNA